rnacentral:rRNA from 1 species
GUCUUUAGCAAGACUAAUCUAACUUUGGAAGCUAAGUAGGGCCAGACCGUUUGCAAUGCUUGUAUGGGAGACUGCUUGGGAAUACUAGGUGCUAAAAGCU